rnacentral:rRNA from 1 species
UGCGCCUACGGGGCGCAGCAGUGGGGGAUAUUGCACAAUGGGGGGAACCCUGAUGCAGCGACGCCGCGUGGGUGAAGAAGCGCCUCGGCGCGUAAAGCCCUGUCAGCAGGGAAGAAAAUGACGGUACCUGAAGAAGAAGCCCCGGCUAACUACGUGCCAGCAGCCGCGGUAAUACGUAGGGGGCAAGCGUUAUCCGGAUUUACUGGGUGUAAAGGGAGCGUAGACGGCCAUGCAAGCCAGGGGUGAAAGCCCGGGGCCCAACCCCGGGACUGCCCUUGGAACUGCAUGGCUGGAGUGCGGGAGGG